GUUUUAAUAGUUUAUCAUAAAACAUUGGUCUUGUAUACCAAAAAUAAGUUUAACUUUUAAAACU
rnacentral:tRNA from 1 species